rnacentral:lncRNA from 1 species
GAACCAUCAAAAUCAACACUACCAAUCUACCUAAUCUUCUCCUUCCCACUGAUCCUAUCAGCAGCCUCCUUAAUCUUCUCAAUAUACCCAUCAAUAGGCGGUGUAAGCGUCGCCAUAAACCUAUUCACCGGAAAUGGAGUCAAAUCCGGCACCAAAGCAGCUUCCUUCAAACCCCCAGGCAAAGCUUCAAUAGCCUCCUUUUUCAUCAUCAAAAGAUUAGUCUCCGCCGCUUGUCUCGCCCUAUGCUUCCUCAUCAAAACCCUACUAUACUCCUUGGCCAAUUUCAUCCCAUCUUCCUUGGUCAAUUCAUACUUGGGCAAUUUCUCAGCAUCAACUAACCCUAACGUUAUAUAAUCUAACCCAGGUGUUCCCAUUAUCGUUGGCUUCUCAGAAACCCUAAAUUUGGCGUUUUUCUUCUUCAUCAUAUCAAGUUCAAUUUGACGAUCUUUGCUAAUUAACCCUAAUUUUCCUCGUUCAGCUUCGCGUGCACGUUGUUUGGGUUUGAGAAAACGAAGUGGUGUUGGUGCGUUGAGGCAUUGUUCGUAGAGGCGUUCGCGUUCUUGUUUCUCACGGGAUCCAGUUGGGGCACCAGGUGUGGGCUCGGCUCCGGUUUUUUUGACAGUGAUUUUGGAACGUUUUAGGAUUUGACCGGCUUUUCCUUUCCCUUUGGCGGUGCGGCUGACGGAGCAGCGUUGAAGGAAUUGGUGUGGAGAGGAUGAUGGUGGUGACGGUGGUUUUAGCUUUGUGAGGCGAAGCAUUGUUGAAACGGUGAAGUGCAGUUCUGUUUU